CGGUAAGCAAACGAGUGAGUACCAGAAGCAAUACUUUUUCUAACAUUAACGCCAACAUACGUCCAAUCAGGUUUCUGCCUUUCGACUGAAGUUGUAGAAACGGCACACUACACCGCAGAAUUCCAAUAACGGUGAAGGGCUUCAGGGUGCUGCCGCUCCGCAGUACUCCAUAUGGAUUGGCACGCCGCUUUGAGAACGUUUUCUAGCCGCCAUAUUGUCAGGCCCGUUAUUUGCCCUGGCUCUGUGUCGUAGCGUGACACUGAGGCUGUGCCAGCUUUUGUCACUGAUGUGCGAAAGGUCCACCUUCAGAACAGGAAGCCAUUGUGUUGUUUGUAUAUGAAACGCAUGUCUCUGUACACUUGAGUUCCGAUGUCCCUGUAGGAGGAAAAAUCCUAACACUAUAGAGACAUGUUGGGUUUCAACCACCAGGGGUCACCAAAAGCCUGUGGUCUUCAUUGAAGGUGUUUUAUUUUCAUGUCAUGAAUAUACGCUGAUUUCUCUCUGUGACAUGUUAACAUUUUCCAGUAUGUAAAUUAAAUUGUUUGCGAUUCCCCUGAAUGUGUUUCUACUUAAAAUAUCAUGUCUGUACUUCAUUUAUACUA